UACGUAGGGGGCAAGCGUUGUCCGGAUUUAUUGGGCGUAAAGAGCGUGUAGGCGGCUAGGUAGGUCCGUUGUGAAAACUCGAGGCUCAACCUCGAGACGUCGAUGGAAACCAUCUAGCUAGAGUCCGGAAGAGGAGAGUGGAAUUCCUGGUGUAGCGGUGAAAUGCGCAGAUAUCAGGAGGAACACCGGUGGCGAAGGCGGGUCUCUGGGCCGAUACUGACACUGAGGAGCGAAAGCGUGGGGAGCGAACAGG
rnacentral:rRNA from 1 species